rnacentral:tRNA from 1 species
GCCUGGGUGGCACAGCGGUUGAGCGUCUGCCUUCGGCUCAGGGCGUGAUCCCGGCGUUAUGGGAUCGAGCCCCACCUCAGGCU